rnacentral:rRNA from 1 species
CCCUUAGAUGCUCUGGGCCGCACGCGCGCUACACUGGUCGAUGCAACGAGUUUCUUUCCUUGGCCGACAGGCCUGGGCAAUCUUUGAACAUCGAUCGUGACCGGGAUAGAUUCUUGUAAUUUUUGAUCUUAAACGAGGAAUUCCUAGUAAACGCAAGUCAUCAGCUUGCAUUGAUUACGUCCCUGCCCUUUGUACACACCGCCCGUCGCACCUACCGAUUGAAUGGUCCGGUGAAAUCUCCGGACUGGCGUGAGUCGGAGCAAUCUGACAAACACCGGAAAGUUGAUUAAACCUUACCAUUUAGAGGAAGGUGAAGUCGUAACA